rnacentral:rRNA from 1 species
AGCGAACGCUGGCGGCAGGCUUAACACAUGCAAGUCGAGCGGGCGUAGCAAUACGUCAGCGGCAGACGGGUGAGUAACGCGUGGGAACAUACCUUUUGGUUCGGAACAACACAGGGAAACUUGUGCUAAUACCGGAUAAGCCCUUACGGGGAAAGAUUUAUCGCCGAAAGAUUGGCCCGCGUCUGAUUAGCUAGUUGGUGAGGUAACGGCUCACCAAGGCGACGAUCAGUAGCNGGUCUGAGAGGAUGAUCAGCCACAUUGGGACUGAGACACGGCCCAAACUCCUACGGGAGGCAGCAGUGGGGAAUAUUGGACAAUGGGCGCAAGCCUGAUCCAGCCAUGCCGCGUGAGUGAUG